AGUGAACGCUGGCGGUAGGCCUAACACAUGCAAGUCGAACGGCAGCACAGUAAGAGCUUGCUCUUACGGGUGGCGAGUGGCGGACGGGUGAGGAAUACAUCGGAAUCUACUUUUUCGUGGGGGAUAACGUAGGGAAACUUACGCUAAUACCGCAUACGACCUCCGGGUGAAAGCAGGGGAUCUUCGGACCUUGCGCGAUUGAAUGAGCCGAUGUCGGAUUAGCUAGUUGGCGGGGUAAAGGCCCACCAAGGCGACGAUCCGUAGCUGGUCUGAGAGGAUGAUCAGCCACACUGGAGCUGAGACACGGUCCAGGCUCCUACAGGAGGCAGCAGUGGGGAAUAUUGGACGAUGGGCGCAAGCCUGAUCCAGCCAUACCGCGUGGAUGAAGAAGGCCUUCGGGUUGUAAAGCCCUUUUGUGGGGAAAGAAAAGCAGCAGGUUAAUACCCCGCUGUUCGGACGGUACCCAAAGAAUAAGCACCGGCUAACAUCGG
rnacentral:rRNA from 1 species